CCUACGGGAGGCAGCAGUGGGGAAUAUUGCACAAUGGGGGAGACCCUGAUGCAGCGACGCCGCGUGAGUGAAGAAGUAUUUCGGUAUGUAAAGCUCUAUCAGCAGGGAAGAAAAUGACGGUACCUGAUUAAGAAGCCCCGGCUAACUACGUGCCAGCAGCCGCGGUAAUACGUAGGGGGCAAGCGUUAUCCGGAUUUACUGGGUGUAAAGGGGGCGUAGACGGUGAUGCAAGUCAGAAGUGAAAGCCCGGGGGUCAACUCCGGGACUGCUUUUGAAAAUGUGUGACUGGAGUGCAGGAGAGGUAAGCGGAAUUCCUGGUGUAGCGGUGAAAUGCGUAGAUAUCAGGAGGAACACCAGUGGCGAAGGCGGCUUACUGGACUGUAACUGACGUUGAGGCUCGAAAGCGUGGGGAGCAAACAGGAUUAGAUACCCCAGUAGUC
rnacentral:rRNA from 1 species